rfam:Nematostella vectensis strain CH2 x CH6 NEMVEscaffold_97_Cont12265, whole genome shotgun sequence.
UCACUCUGGUUUUCCUUCAUAUCGAGUAAAUCUUUCGCCUUUUACUAAAGAUUUCCGUGGAGGAGAGCACUUAAAUGAGUACAUCACUCUAUUUUUUAUUUGCUUUGCAUUUUUGCGGGA